rnacentral:rRNA from 1 species
UACGUAGGGGGCAAGCGUUGUCCGGAUUCAUUGGGCGUAAAGAGCUCGUAGGCGGUUCAGUAAGUCGGGUGUGAAAGCUCCGAGCUCAACUCGGAGAGGCCACCCGAUACUGCUGUGACUUGAGUCCAGUAGAGGAGCGUGGAACUCCUGGUGUAGCGGUGAAAUGCGCAGAUAUCAGGAAGAACACCUGCAGCGAAGGCGGCGCUCUGGGCUGGAACUGACGCUGAGGAGCGAAAGCGUGGGUAGCAAACAGG